AUUGAACGCUGGCGGCAGGCUUAACACAUGCAAGUCGAGCGGGGUGAUGGUGCUUGCACUAUCACUUAGCGGCGGACGGGUGAGUAAUGCUUAGGAAUCUGCCUAUUAGUGGGGGACAACAUCUCGAAAGGGAUGCUAAUACCGCAUACGUCCUACGGGAGAAAGCAGGGGAUCACUUGUGACCUUGCGCUAAUAGAUGAGCCUAAGUCGGAUUAGCUAGUUGGUGGGGUAAGGGCCUACCAAGGCGACGAUCUGUAGCGGGUCUGAGAGGAGGAUCCGCCACACUGGGACUGAGACACGGCCCAGACUCCUACGGGAGGCAGCAGUGGGGAAUAUUGGACAAUGGGGGGAACCCUGAUCCAGCCAUGCCGCGUGUGUGAAGAAGGCCUUAUGGUUGUAGAGCACUUUAAGCGAGGAGGAGGCUUACCUAGUUAAUACCUGGGAUAAGUGGACGCUACUCGCAGAAUAAGCACCGGCUAACUCUGUGCCAGCCGCCGCCGUAA
rnacentral:rRNA from 1 species